GGGGUUGUGGCUCAGUGGUAGAGCACUUGCCUAGCAUGCAUGAGGAACUGGGUUGGAUCCCCAGCACCACCU
rnacentral:tRNA from 1 species